rnacentral:tRNA from 1 species
GCCUGGCUGGCUCAGUCAGUGGGAGCAUGUGACUCUCGAUCUCGGGGGUCAUGGGUUUGAGUCCCACGUUGGGCA